rnacentral:rRNA from 1 species
UAGGGAAUCUUCCACAAUGGACGAAAGUCUGAUGGAGCAACGCCGCGUGAGUGAUGAAGGGUUUCGGCUCGUAAAACUCUGUUGUUGGAGAAGAACGGGUGUCAGAGUAACUGUUGACAUCGUGACGGUAUCCAACCAGAAAGCCACGGCUAACUACGUGCCAGCAGCCGCGGUAAUACGUAGGUGGCAAGCGUUGUCCGGAUUUAUUGGGCGUAAAGCGAGCGCAGGCGGUUUUUUAGGUCUGAUGUGAAAGCCUUCGGCUUAACCGGAGAAGUGCAUCGGAAACCGGGAGACUUGAGUGCAGAAGAGGACAGUGGAGCUCCAUGUGUAGCGGUGAAAUGCGUAGAUAUAUGGAAGAACACCAGUGGCGAAGGCGGCUGUCUGGUCUGCAAACUGACGCUGAGGCUCGAAAGCAUGGGUAGCGAACAGGAUUAGAUACCCUGGUGGUCCAUGCCGUAAACGAUGAGUGCUAAGUGUUGGAGGGUUUUCCG